GGAAACCUUAAGCUGAUGUGUCCCUUCAGCACAAUCUAGCCCUAAGAGAGGUGCUUAUGUCACUCAGGAUUCGCUGGCCAAUCAGGGCCUCCAGGAAGACCCUCCAAGCAGAAGAAGAGGGUUCUUCUUGGUGCUUUGUUCCCUGCUGCUGGUUCAGCUCUAUUGCUGAGCAGGCAUUUAAGGUUGGUGUAAUGUGUUUUGACAUCUCCAGUGAGUGCUUUCCGGAGUGCCAGCCCUGAGCUACUAAGUCUCAUCAUGGUGAGCAUGUGACCACUGCCCCUAACCUGAAUUAUCAGAGGACUGAGGAUGGGGAGGUGGCCCUCCGUGGGCUGGGUGGAAAUUAGCAGCCAUUUUGGAGGUUCCUUAUGGUCCUAGCCACUAGGUGUUUUCAUGCGUUUCAAAUGAAUAACUUCAGUAUGGGAGCUGCAUCUGCACAAAGCAUUUGGUACAAGGGAUUUCGCAUAGACCCGUCUUUGACAAGAUUCCAAAUUCGGAGAUCUAGUUCUUUAGUAUCCUGUAGACAUUAUUCCUUGCCAUUUAAGAUCUAUGUGGAGUUAAUUUUGUGUGUGUGGAUAGAGGGGGUGUUGAAAACCACAUCUCACAGGUUGGUUAGCACACGAAAUUUAAUCUGCGGUGGGAAGAGUAGAAUCUUUGAUGUAAAGGAUUUUGCACUGCUUAGGAAAUAGUAAGAGGCACUGUGGAUUGCUCUAAUGCUGUUUGUAUUUUGAUGCUAAUUCCACUUCACCAAGAGGGGCUGCCUAGAAUGAGGACUAUUUCACAUACUCAAGUGACUUUAUUGGAAUCUUCUCCACAUUUUAACUUGUAAAAUAAAGGCUAGUGCAGGUGAUUGGAAAGGUAGAGCUGAAAAGCUUUUGGGAGAAGGAGAGAAGUGAGGGAAGGUGAGAAUUCAGGAAGGAAAAUGGAGCUGAAGCGCCUGGCCUAGAGAAACCUCCAUUUUAAGGGAUCUCAGCUGGGGACUAUAGUAAUGUAAUGGUAGAUCUGCCCAAUCGAGACAUGUAACUUGUAUUCAUAUGUUAUGUUUCCUUUGCAUGGGCUUAUUUGGUUUGCACUAUUCACAGUGCACAAGUUGAAUUUAGCUGAGGAAAUUUGAUUGCCUCUAAAACAGACACAGCUUCACAGGAAUGCCAUCUGCGUGAAGCUGCUGUGGACUGGGGAACUCUGCCCUGGUUAUGUAGAUCUCAGACAUGGUUCCAUUGCCUGCUGGUUGUUCCAGGGAAGAAUGGCUGAUCCUGAACUGUCCUGGAAAAGAUCUCGUUUUCGCUACUAUUGUAGCAGCCAUUACUGCUGCAGCCAUUGUGUCUACAGUGGCUGGAGUUACCCUCCCCCCAUUCUUUUGUUAGGCAAGCAUAGUGGGUGAACUUUCUGGAGUAGUUGCUAACAAUUGGGAAUUCUAAAUUUUAUUACAAGAGCAGGUUGACUGUGGCCCUUGAUGCUAUGGCCCUCCGAGUUUGACCCUAAGGCCCUUGUGCUUCUUUUCACAUGCUGAGGAGAACCAGUAAGGCAAUGUACUUGAUUAGGUGGCCACUACAUAUCGGGAGAGGCUCAACUUCCACAAUCUCCUAAAUUAUUAUCAACUGGCUCCUACUUUUUCGCCCCUGGGCUCAAGUAAGAGGAAUGAGAAGAUGACCCGAUGUAGUUUCCUCAGCGACGGGCAACUUCCUCUGACCCUUGACCAAUCUAGACACGAACCCUUGAGGGCAACAAGGUGAUCCUAUGUCAGAUAGGCUGGGGUUCGAGAGGUCGAUCCUCAGACAGAGGUGACUACGCCCCUUUUAAACGUAUGGGCCGGUCAAAUGCUCCUCUGCCCAGUUUCUCCCUCCUUAAACACACACGUAUAUCCCAGAACGGUGUGUUACAACAUAAUUUCAUUCCUAACCAUUGAUGUACAGUCCUAACUGCAAGAGUGGCUCACCAUGGCCGAGCUGGGCACUCUGUGAGGCAUGUCUGAUCUCUCUCAGACCACUACUUCCACCUAAUGGUCUUUUAUAAAAGAAAUAUGGAGGAGUUGUGGGAGCCGAAUUGGAUUUGGGCCUAGUUGCCUUGUCACUGUUUGGCUUUAGUCUUUGAUUGUAGGAUCAAAUGCCUCUCCCUGUAAUUUUCGGCACAAGAAGUUUGCAUUCACGGAAUGUUUCCAGCCGGAACAAGACCCUUCCGGGUCUCCAGCAAGGUUUGACCCCUGCUGAGCCCUGCCCUUGCAUGUGGAAGCUUUUUGUCCCCAACUGGGAACAGUCUGGCCAGGUACUUCUCACCUGACUCAAAGAAUUAGGUUGGCCUUCCUGGUUAUUUUCCUAAUUUAUUCAGGUCACAUAGCCGGUCCUUUGUUACCAAAGUCUCAGCCAGGGUUCCCCACUGUGCUUGGCAGAUACCUGCUAAGUGGUGUUCUGUGGAUAUAUAGUUUGGUCAAUAAAGAAACCAGAGGCUCUCUUCCUCUUCUGGCUUGACACGAAUAACCUGUGUGUGUGUGUUUCUUUCAUCCCACAGGCUUUUUCCCGAUUCUUGGUACCCUGUUGGUACAGGCGCCGACAGUGAUUAUUGCUUCCUGUUAUAUUCAUAUUUGGAUGUGAGGUUAUGUUUGUGUGCUUUUCUUCUCUUUGUUUUGUUGCCAAGACGAUUAGUUUCUUGGUUUUUCUAGGGUGUAGCUUGCCUCCUUAUGUUGGGCUUUACCAUUUA
ensembl:lncRNA